rnacentral:rRNA from 1 species
UACGUAGGGCGCAAGCGUUGUCCGGAAUUAUUGGGCGUAAAGAGCUCGUAGGCGGUUUGUCGCGUCUGCUGUGAAAACCUAAGGCUCAACCUUGGCUUGCAGUGGGUACGGCAGACUAGAGUACAGAAGGGCAACUGGAAUUCUCGGUGUAGCGGUAAAUGCGUAGAUAUCGAGAGGAACACCUGCGGCGAAGGCGGUUGCUUGGCUGAUACUGACGCUGAGGCGCGAAAGCCAGGGAGCGAACGGG